GACGUAGGUGGCGAACGCUAUCCGGAAUUAUUGGGCGUAAAGGGUGCGUAGGUGGCCUGACAAGUUAUCAGUGGCAAAUCGAGGCUCGACCUCGUGGAAACUGGUAAUACUGUCCGGCUUGAGUACAGGAGAGGUUAACGGAACUCUAUGUGGAGCGGUAAAAUGCACAGAUAUAUAGAAGAACAUCAAUAAAGGCGAAGGCAGUUAACUAUUCUGUUACUGACGCUGAGGCACGAAAGCGUGGGGAGCAAAACGG
rnacentral:rRNA from 1 species